UACGAAGGAUGCAAGCGUUAUCCGGAUUCAUUGGGUUUAAAGGGAGCGUAGGUGGCCUUAUAAGUCAGUGGUGAAAUCUCUCGGCUUAACCGAGAAAUUGCCAUUGAUACUGUAGGGCUUGAGUAUAGUUCCGUUGGCGGAAUAUGACAUGUAGUGGUGAAAUACAUAGAGAUGUCAUAGAACACCGAUUGCGAAGGCAGCUGACGAAACUAUAACUGACAACUGAGGCUCGAAAGUGCGGGGAUCAAACAGGAUUAGAAACCCGGGGU
rnacentral:rRNA from 1 species